GGCAUGAGCCACCACACCUGGCCUGCAUCCUGAACCUAGAUGAUUUACAACUUGAUGAUGUAUGAUUUGGGCACUGAUUUUUUUCUUUUAAGGUUUUAUAGAUAUUGCUUUAUUUUCUUAUAUCGUUUGGUAUUAUAAGAUGCAUUCUGAGAAUCUCCUUAGCCACCACGCAACAUUAAAACAACAGGCAAAUGAAGUCCAUUAAAGCAGAAGAGAAAGUUGGAGAGGUUGGAAGAACGAGAGAGAGUCAAUACCCCCUCUCUGGCUUGGACUAUGGAAUAGGCCAAGGAAGAAGAAAUGGAGGUGGCCUUAAGGAGUUCAAAGAGAUCUUCUGCUGACAAGCACCAAGGAAAUGGGAAACACAGUGCCACAACUUCAUGAAACUCAAUUGCACCAACAACAUAAACAAGCACAGAAGUUGAUUUUUUUUUUCUGAACUUCCAGAUAAGAACCCAGUCCAGUCAAUACCUGGAUUUCUGUAAGACCCUAAACUGACAACCCAGUUUAGUUCGCCUGGGCUUCUAACCUACAGAACUAUGAGCUAAUAAAUUCAUGUUGCUUUAAGCCACCAUAUAUGUGAUAAUAUUCAGCAAUAGAAAAACUACCUGAUCUAAGCUCCACAUGACUCAAGAGUAAUUGUCCUUCUAGCCCAACGUCUGUGGGUAGAUUCAGAAAGAAUCUUGAAGGAAAGGUGGCACAGCAGUUUCCUGAGGGGAAGCGAGCAGGUGGCUGAGUGCCCAGAGCUCCACAUGUGGCCACAGGACCAUGGAGAGGGGACACAACCAAAAUAAGCUGAAUUUGGAAGUGAAUCCUAGUGUCAUCUCUGUCAUCUCUAAUGUGAGGCAAAUGUAGAGGGAAGUCUACUUCCUUCUGUACUGCUUCUGAUGCAAAAUAAAAAAAUGACAUAUGUUCUCAGGAAUGAGGAUGGAAUUAAAAAGGAAAAGUCAUUUGAUUUGUUUUCUAAUAAUUCAGGUGCAAGCAUAAUAGAAUUUGGAGAAUUUUUUGUCAUUAUGACUGCUGAUAAAAGUGAUGCUAUAAAUAACAACUUCUUACAAAUGGGUAACACCCCAUACUUCUAAAGGAGUAUUCACUUAUUUGCCUUAAUUUAAUACUCUUAUUGAUAAUGCAAGCUAGGCAGGGCAUGACCAGUAUUUUUAUAUUUAUUUUAUUGAACAAAGAGCCAGUAAAAUGUCUACCUUUUAUAAAGGGUUAAUAUAAACAAUUGAGAAAACUGUUAGAAAUAUUAAAUUUAUAGAUGGGCAAAAAUAGCUGCAUUUCCUUUUGGUAAUAUUAACUCACAAUUUUUUUUC
rnacentral:lncRNA from 10 species